rnacentral:rRNA from 1 species
GAUGAACGCUGGCGGCGUGCUUAACACAUGCAAGUCGAACGAAGAUAUCCUGAAUGAGAGCUUCGGCAGGAAUUCUGGAUAUUCUUAGUGGCGGACGGGUGAGUAACGUGUGGGCAACCUGCCCUAUACUGGGGAAUAAUCACUGGAAACGGUGACUAAUACCGCAUGUGGUUCCUUGAAGGCAUCUUUAGGGAAAGAAAGGAUUUAUUCGGUAUAGGAUGGGCCCGCAUCUGAUUAGCUAGUUGGUGAGAUAAUAGCCCACCAAGGCGACGAUCAGUAGCCGACCUGAGAGGGUGAUCGGCCACAUUGGGACUGAGACACGGCCCAAACUCC